GACGAACGCUGGCGGCGUGCCUAAUACAUGCAAGUCGAGCGCUGAAGGUUGGUACUUGUACCAACUGGAUGAGCAGCGAACGGGUGAGUAACGCGUGGGGAAUCUGCCUAUGAGCGGGGGACAACAUUUGGAAACGAAAGCUAAUACCGCAUAAAAACUUGAAACACAAGUUUCAAGAGUGAAAGAUGCAAUUGCAUUACUCAAAGAAGAUCUCGCGUCGUCUUAGCUAGUUGGUGAGGUAAAGGCCCAACAAGGCGAUGAUACAUAGCCGACCUGAGAGGGUGAUCGGCCCCAUUGGGACUGAGAAACCGCCCAAACUCCUCAGGGGGGCCACCAUAAGGAAUCUUCGCCAAUGGACCGAAGUCUUACCGAGCAACGCCGCGUGAGUGAAAAAGGUUUUCGGAUCGUAAAACUCUUUUUAUAGGGGAGAACGUAAUUGAGAAUUAAAUACUCACCUCGUGACGGUACCUACUCAGAAAGCCACGGCUAACUACGUG
rnacentral:rRNA from 1 species